GCGAGUGUGGCGGAACUGGCAGACGCGCUGGACUUAGGAUCCAGUGUCUUCGGACAUGGGGGUUCGAAUCCCCCCGCUCGCA
rnacentral:tRNA from 1 species